GAUACGGUGUGUGAUAUUGAAAAAGCCAUAUCAUAUACACUUUAUUAUAUACAUUUACCUCAAGUAGAUGUUUUUUAUGUGACAUGACGUCAUACAGAUAUAUAAGGAGUUUUGAAAUGACGUCAUACAGAUUAUAGGUUUGACAUGACGUCAUACAGAUUAGGGAUUUGAUAAAGCUUUGCAACAGUGACUGCAAUCUAUGACGUGACGUCAUACAGAUUAAAGGUGUGAUAAAGCUUUUGCAACCGUGCUGAUAUCGAUAUCAUCACGGGUGGCUGAUACAGCACGCUUGCCAUUGGUUGUAUUACACAUACAAUUUAUC
rnacentral:lncRNA from 1 species